GACGAACGCUGGCGGCGUGCCUAACACAUGCAAGUCGAACGGAGCACUUCGGUGCUUAGUGGCGAACGGGUGAGUAACGCGUGAGAAACCUGCCUUUCAGUGGGGGACAACAGUUGGAAACGACUGCUAAUACCGCAUAAUGUUAUUUGGGGGCAUCCCCGAAUAACCAAAGCUUUAUGUGCUGAAAGAUGGUCUCGCGUCUGAUUAGCUAGAUGGCGGGGUAACGGCCCACCAUGGCGACGAUCAGUAGCCGGUCUGAGAGGAUGAACGGCCACAUUGGGACUGAGAUACGGCCCAGACUCCUACGGGAGGCAGCAGUGGGGAAUAUUGGGCAAUGGGGGAAACCCUGACCCAGCAACGCCGCGUGAAGGAAGAA
rnacentral:rRNA from 1 species